GCCGAGGUGGCGAAACUGGCAGACGCGCACGCUUCAGGUGCGUGUUCCCGUAAGGGAUUAAGGGUUCAACUCCCUUCCUCGGCA
rnacentral:tRNA from 1 species